GAGGAAAGUCCGGGCUCCAUAGGGCAAGGUGCCAGGUAACGCCUGGGGGGUGUCACAGCCCACGACCAGUGCAACAGAGAGCAAACCGCCGAUGGCCCGCGCAAGCGGGAUCAGGUAAGGGUGAAAGGGUGCGGUAAGAGCGCACCGCGCGGCUGGUAACAGUCCGCGGCACGGUAAACUCCACCCGGAGCAAGGCCAAAUAGGGGUUCAUAAGGUACGGCCCGUACUGAACCCGGGUAGGCUGCUUGAGCCAGUGAGCGAUUGCUGGCCUAGAUGAAUGACUGUCCACGACAGAACCC
rnacentral:RNase_P_RNA from 6 species